AAUACUACGUCUUAACUGUGUAUUUUCUGUAUAAUUCUAGGCACGACAGGAAUGCAUCCCAUCGAGGGAUGCAAAAAUCGCUAGAGACCUUCAACGAGCCUUCCAGUUGAGACUUGAAUGUGAAAACUUCCUGCUUACCAAAAUGUUGCGUACAAUGUUAUGCUGUUGCCUGGAAAAAACCAAGCGCAAAGAAACCCUUGGCUUAAGCUGAAGUUGCCCUUCACUAGAGUUCAUCUCAAGCACAAACAGCAAAACAGCCACAAGAUAAGUAUAAGCUUCAGCCAUCACUUCCCCUCCCAUGUACACCGAUGGCAUUCAGCACUAAACCGCACCAUACCCGUUCUUUGCUGUUGGUUCCUGAUUUUUGCUAUGAUUCUGUGAUUCAUGGCUUGUCUUGGUAGCUUAGGUGGUGCAGUCUUUUUUGGAAUAAGCAAGAAGAUCAGUGACAAAAGAUAAUCUGUCUUUAGGAAAAGAUUAUUCAGUAUUUUUUCGGCAAAUAUCAGUUCAGUGCUUGCCGUACGUAGCAUAAAACAUGCUGUAGAAUUUGAGGCCAGGUGUCCAAAGAGGAAAUGCACCUGUUCCAUGGGGAUUUGUUCCUCCAGAGUUACUGCUUUGCAGUGCCUGGUGCUGUGUAGUAGUAGUGUGCCAAUAAAUCACUGGUUUGGACAUAAAAGGAAAGCAGAGACUUCGGGUUGAAGAGGUCUACAGGGGGCUGUUUAGCACAGGAGUCAUUUGUGGAUUGCCUGAAGGUGUUCAGUGUGUAGCCCCCAGAAUGUCUUCCACUUGCUUUAGAAAUGCUGUUGACGGAUAAGCAAUUGUGGAAAAAAUGGGUUUCUUCCUUUGCACCUAGCCCUUCCGUUGUUAUGUUCCCUUGGAAAUUUUAAAGUCUCUGUCUGGAUUGCAGUCCCUUGUGUUGCCUGUCAUGUCCUUGCCUUAUUUUGCCCUGUCUGCUGUAAAAGUAACACCAGGAAUCUUGUCAAUUUUCCCCCCAGCCACUGCUAAACUUACAAGUGGAUCUGCUGGAUCUUCAAAAAAUCUUCAUGUGGAGCACGGACGCGGUCCCUGUGGGAAUAACAGGUUUGCCACUCUCGGGAUGAGGGUGUAAAAAAUGGCUCAUUUAGGGAGCUUUCAUAUGCAGCAAUGUCCUCACUCCCGACAGA